AUAUAUAUAUAGUCCAGCUAUGGUGCUUGUAAAAACACCAAAUACUUGGUGUUUGUAAAUUUUUUACCGUUAGAUCUACUUCUCGAAUCAUUUUCAACCAUUAGAUUAUACUAUUCAACCAACCACCCACUCAACCCUAGAGGGCUCACAUCAUCUUAACCGCAUAUCUCUUAAUCCAAUAGCUAAAAAUCUACAAGCACCAAUAACUUGGUACUUUUAAAAGAAUAAGAGCUCAAUUAUAUAUAUAUAUAUAUAUAGUACGUUUUCUGUAUUUUCGAAAGUAUGGAGGACAUUCAAUUUAACGAUCAGCUCCAUUAAUAAUAAUCUAUGCUUAUUGAAACUAUUUAGAAACUAAAUUUUAUAAAUUUUCAACAUUAUUUACUACAUGAUCAAAAAGUCUUAAAAAUGACUGUUUUAACGAUUGAUCUAGCAUGUUUUUAAAUUAAAUAGAACAAUCUAAAUUAUAUGAAACCUUAAUAAAAAAUUUUACUUAAUAUCAAUAGUAAGAUCAAUAUGUCUAAUUUAAAAUUUGAGUCUUUUAUCACUAUUUUUUAUAAAAUUUUUAUUUUCAGUCGAUCAUUUUUACAUUACUUGUUUACUAGGCAAAUGAAGUUAAAAAAUUAUAAAAUUUGAUUUAUAGAUAGUUCCAAUAGCAUAUAUCAUGUCUAGCGUAAUCAAUUGACGAAUCAGAUGCCCCAUCAUAAAAAAAAUACUAAUAAAAAGGCAUUUUUACUUUCGAAAGCAUAAAAGCCUAACUCUAUGUUACGCCCCGGAUUACUAUGUUUUUCUGGGCACGCCAACAGACCCGUCGUAUACAUAAAAAUUUUUCGUGUAUACGAAUCGAUAGCUAUACCUGCAAAUAAAUAGGAGCUACAACUAAAGUAAAGAGCUGUUAAGACUAAAACAUAAAUAUAUGAAAUAUAAAAGGAUCCACUGUAUAUACAAAAGCUCUAAAACCACCUCGUUCCAGUGAGUACCACUAGCAUAACAGUAUAUACAUAGAAAAACUCCAAAACUACCUCUGCAGGGUACUCCUCUAGCACAGCGACCAAGGAUGGUAGGGAUCUAGCUCACGAUUCUCUUACCACGAUCAGAAUCAGUAACAGCAGUAGCAGUUGACGGCUCUGCAAAAAGAUGACAAUAACUGGGUGUGAGAACUACUGCAAAAUAGAGUAGUCCUCAGUAGGUACCAUCACCGACCUCAACGCCCACCCACUAA
rnacentral:lncRNA from 1 species